rnacentral:rRNA from 1 species
UACGAAGGGGCUAGCGUUGCUCGGAUUGACUGGGCGUAAAGGGCGCGUAGGCGGUUUGCACAGUCAGACGUGAAAUUCCUGGGCUUAACCUGGGGGCUGCGUUUGAUACGUGCAGGCUUGAGUUCGGAAGAGGGUCGUGGAAUUCCCAGUGUAGAGGUGAAAUUCGUAGAUAUUGGGAAGAACACCGGUGGCGAAGGCGGCGACCUGGUCCGAUACUGACGCUGAGGAGCGAAAGCGUGGGGAGCGAACAGG